AUUCCUUGCAACUCUUCCAGCUUCGGUGGUGUCGGAAGACCAAGAGCAAGAAUCAGUGCAGUUGCAGAAGGAGAAAGAUGAUCCACAGAAAGUGGAGUCUCAUGAUUGGUCCGGCAACCAUACUGGGCUCCAUCGUUGUAACGGUGGCGGUUGCGAAUUUCAUCUUCGUUAAAAACGCCCCCUUCCUUAAACCAGAGGAAAGGAAGCAAGAGACGCCAUUGAUGAAAUAAGAGUUUGGAUCGUGGAGGCAUGCCUAAGAAUGUUCUUUAGUUUUGUCUGUUGAUGUGGGGGCUUUGGCUUCAUAAAUGAUUUAUAUCACUCUAGAUUCUCCACUAAGCGACUUAAAGUGCAUUCCUUCAAUUUCAUGGGCAUAGGUGCUUAUGGGCAACUGUAAGGAUUACUAACUUAAAAAAUGAAAAAAAGAAAAGAAGAAUUUCUGUUGAAGAUAA